CCACAGGAAGCCGUUGAAGAGAUCACCCCCAACACAUCAUCAGACAAGCAUUGUCUGGAGAUUAAGAUCUUAGAAAAUCCAGGUAAUUCACCACAGGUUCAUGACUUGGAAAGACUCAUGUGAAGUGGACUCCAUUACAUCUGGUCAGCCACACACACUUGAGACUGCAGCUCACAAGGAAAGCAAGGAGGUACUACUGACCAGGUGUAUGAAGUCUGGAGCACUGAGCAGCACAGAGCAAGAUUCAUCCCCCUUUCCAUGUCCUCAGUUUUGAUUCCCCGGAUCCACUUUGGUGUGACUCUUUGUGGAGAAACUCAGAAAAGGCCGCCAAUAGCCCAACUCCAUUUCCAAGGCAACAAGAUGCAAAAUCAAUGUUGUGAGUCUUCAUUGUCCAUAUGGCUAACCUGAAAUCAUUGAAGAAACAGGGAGCUACUCAGAGAAAAGUCAGAGAUCCUGACCCUAAGUGGGUGGAGAGCUGAGGUUGCCUCAGCAACACUGAACAGUGGAAAGUGAGAGCAUUUUUGUGUUAUAGACUAUAAAUGGCGUCUUUGAUAUUGCUGAGACGCUGAAGAGCAAACUGCUGAGACAAUACAACAAGGAACAUGCAGGUUUCCUGUCAGAUAAGAAAAAAAGAGAAGUGGAAGAGACAGAAAUCAAGGCCCUCUGGUAAGACGUAAGGAAUACAAUCAAAAACUCCCUGGACUUUGUGAAAUAGAGCUCUGUUGUGGAUAGACUGGUGGAUGGAGUUGAUAAAGUAGUGGAGAUGUGGGCCCCAGAUUUGCAUCAGCAUCAAAAAUUGUUGAAGGAUAUAUUGCUGGAACCACUCCAGAGGAAGCCGUUGAAGAGAUCACCCCCAACACAUCAUCAGACAAGCAUUAUCUGGAGACUAAGGUCUUAGAAAAUCCAGACUCUUUGUGGAGAAACUCAGAAAAGGCCGCCAAUAGCCCAACUCCAUUUCCAAGGCAACAAGAUGCAAAAUCAAUGUUGUGAGUCUUCAUUGUCUAUAUGGCUAACCUGAAAUCACUGAAGAAACAGGGAGCUACUCAGAGAAAAGUCAGAGAUCCUGACCCUAAGUGGGUGGAGAGCUGAGGUUGCCUCAGCAACACUGAACAGUGGAAAGUGAGAGCAUUUUUGUGUUAUAGACUAUAAAUGGCGUCUUUGAUAUUGCUGAGACGCUGAAGAGCAAACUGCUGAGACUAUACAACAAGGAAUAUGCAGGUGUCCUGUCAGAUAAGAAAAAAAGAGAAGUGGAAGAGACAGAAAUCAAGGCCCUCUGGUAAGACGUAAGGAAUACAAUCAAAAACUCCCUGGACUUUGUGAAAUAGAGCUCUGUUGUGGAUAGACUGGAGGAUGGAGUUGAUAAAGUAGUGGAGAUGUGGGCCCCAGAUUUGCAUCAGCAUCAAAAAUUGUUGAAGAAUCUAUUGCUGGAACCACUCCAGAGGAAGCCGUUGAAGAGAUCACCCCCAACACAUCAUCAGACAAGCAUUAUCUGGAGACUAAGGUCUUAGAAAAUCCAGGUAAUUCAACACAGGAUCAUGACUUGGAAAGACUCAUGUGAACAGGACUCCAUUACAUCUGGUCAGCCACAGCCACUUGAGACUUCAGCUCACAAGGAAAGCAAGGAGGUACUACUGACCAGGUGUAUGAAGUCUGGAGCACUGAGCAGCACAGAGCAAGAUUCAUCCCCCUUUCCAUGUCCUCAGUUUUGGUUCCCCGGAUCCACUUUGGUGUGGUAAGAGAACCUAAC